ACUGGGGAGCAUAUAACGCCGCCUGGAAAACGCGUCUUCUUCAAGUUUGGCCAGGAUAGAAAAGGGGGGGGAAAAAGGAAAGAACCCCCAAAACAACUCCCGGUUUCUCUCUCCUUAUCUCUCUCAGCGUCUCCCUCUCUCUUUACGUGUGCAUGACAGCAAACGGUUAUCUUUAAAAAAAAAUAAAAAAAAAAAUAAUUUAAAAAAAAAAAUCAGUGCUUAAACAGACGCUUUCUCCUGCUCUUCUUCGCAGAGGACUGACAGGCGGUGCGAAAAAACAACAACCCAGGUCUGUGGCAGAGACGACGAGGUCGAGAUGGACCGUGAUAGGCGAACAUUGUUAGCAGCGUUCGGAAAACAGGAGCGACGGUGAAAGCGAGCCAUUGUCGGCAAAUGCUCUUUUCUAUCUGGCAUGACGCAAGCAGCCGCAGUCAUUUCCACUGUGAUUGUCGGGCACCAUCAGAGAGCAUCGAUAACCCCUGCCAGGCCUUGGCACCGCCAACAGGUGCCGGCACUGCCAGCUAGGUUGGCACCAACGUGGCUGUGAAAACCCUCUGACAUCCAGAAGGGCACAGAUUUGCACUGAAUGCACCACUGAAUCAACACUGCUGAUUAUCAAUUAACAUAUACCGUUUUGUAUCACACAGAAAAGAGGGGAAAAAUGGGUUUUGAAACACAGAAAGCCUGUUUAAAAAUACUAGCUGUGUGCUGUUAUAAUCACAUGCUGAAUACAGAUUUAGCUCUGUUCAAGGUGGGUUUUACCAGCCUGUGCGGCUUUGUGUUGGAAAUACAGUACGAGGUGCACUGUG